UUUAGUCGUGGAUUGUGGAGGAGGAAUUAUUUAGGGUUUGUGAGAUGGGCAUGUGAAUUCUAGGAUUGACGAGAGAUAGAGAGGGACAGAAGAGGGGGAUAUGGAUGACAGAGGUGGGUCGUUUGUUGCUGUCAGGAGGAUAUCUCAAGGUCUCGAACGAGGUAGCAACACCUGCCAUUCAACGUCUGCUGAGGUUGUAGCAGGAUCAGCAGCAUGGCUUGGUCGUGGUCUUUCUUGUGUGUGUGCACAGAGACGAGAGAAUGAUGCUCGCCCUUCAUUUGAUUUAACCCCUGCCCAGGAG
rnacentral:misc_RNA from 1 species